CCGCGUGCGUGAAGAAGGCCUUCGGGUUGUAAAGCACUUUCAGUCGUGAGGAAGGUAGUAGUAGUUAAUAGCUGCAUUAUUUGACGUUAGCGACAGAAGAAGCACCGGCUAACUCCGUGCCAGCAGCCGCGGUAAUACGGAGGGUGCGAGCGUUAAUCGGAACUUACUGGGCGUAAAGCGCAUGCAGGUGGUUUGUUAAGUCAGAUGUGAAAGCCCGGGGCUCAACCUCGGAAUUGCAUUUGAAACUGGCAGACUAGAGUACUGUAGAGGGUGGGUAGAAUUUCAGGUGUAGCGGUGAAAUGCGUAGAGAUCUGAAGGAAUACCCGGUGGCGAAGGCGGCCCCCUGGACAGAUACUGACACUCAGAUGCGAAAGCGUGGGGAGCAAACAGGAUUAGAUACCCUAGGUAGU
rnacentral:rRNA from 1 species